rnacentral:rRNA from 1 species
GAUGAACGCUAGCUACAGGCUUAACACAUGCAAGUCGAGGGGCAGCACGCUUCUGAUUAGGUAGUUGGUGAGGUAACGGCUCACCAAGCCGACGAUCAGUAGGGGUUCUGAGAGGAAGGUCCCCCACAUUGGAACUGAGACACGGUCCAAACUCCUACGGGAGGCAGCAGUGAGGAAUAUUGGUCAAUGGGCGAAAGCCUGAACCAGCCAAGUCGCGUGAAGGAUGAAGGUUCUAUGGAUUGUAAACUUCUUUUAUUCGAGGGUAAAACAGCGGACGUGUCCGCUCUUGCAAGUAUCGAAUGAAUAAGCAUCGGCUAACUCCGUG